rnacentral:rRNA from 1 species
UACGUAGGGUGCGAGCGUUGUCCGGAAUUAUUGGGCGUAAAGAGCUUGUAGGCGGUUUUGUCGCGUCUGCUGUGAAAAUCCGGGGCUCAACCCCGGACUUGCAGUGGGUACGGGCAGACUAGAGUGUGGUAGGGGAGACUGGAAUUCCUGGUGUAGCGGUGAAAUGCGCAGAUAUCAGGAGGAACACCGGUGGCGAAGGCGGAUCUCUGGGCCGAUACUACG